GAUGAACGCUGGCGGCGUGCCUAACACAUGCAAGUCGAACGGAGUCCAGCCUUUAAGACCUUCGGGUCAAAGAGGGGAAGACUGAGUGGCGGACGGGUGAGUAACACGUGGGCAACCUGGCUCAUAGAGGGGGAUAACAGAGAGAAAUUUCUGCUAAUACCGCAUAAGCACACACUGCCGCAUGGCAGAGGGUGAAAAGAGAAUCGCUAUGAGAUGGACCCGCGUCUGAUUAGCCAGUUGGCAGGGUAAGAGCCUACCAAAGCGACGAUCAGUAGCCGAUCUGAGAGGAUGAACGGCCACAUUGGGACUGAGACACGGCCCAAACUCCUACGGGAGGCAGCAGUGGGGGAUAUUGCACAAUGGGGGGAACCCUGAUGCAGCGACGCCGCGUGAGUGAAGAAGUAUUUCGGUAUGUAAAGCUCUAUCAGCAGGGAAGAUAAUGACAGUACCUGAAUAAGAAGCCCCGGCUAACUACGUG
rnacentral:rRNA from 1 species